GACGAACGCUGGCGGCGUGCUUAACACAUGCAAGUCGAACGGAAAGGCCUGCUUUCCCUUGUGGAUUGCGGGUACUCGAGUGGCGAACGGGUGAGUAACACGUGAGUGAUCUGCCCCCAACUUGGGUAUAAGCCUGGGAAACUGGGUCUAAUUCCCGAUAGGACUGCAGGGUGGUGCCUGUGGUGGAAAACGAUUUUCUAGUGGUUGGGGAUGAGCUCGCGGCCUAUCAGCUUGUUGGUGGGGUAAUGGCCUACCAAGGCGGCGACGGGUAGCCGGCCUGGGAGGGUGGACGGCCACAUUGGGACUGGGAUACGGCCCAGACUCCUACGGGAGGCAGCAGUGGGGAAUAUUGCACAAUGGGCGGAAGCCUGAUGCAGCGAGGCCGCGUGGGGGAUGACGGCCUUCGGGUUGUAAACUCCUUUCGACCGCGAGGAAGCCACCUGGUUGGAAGGGUGGUGACGGUAGUGGUAGAAGAAGCACCGGCUAACUACGUG
rnacentral:rRNA from 1 species